rnacentral:rRNA from 1 species
CGUAACAAGGUCUCCGUUGGUGAACCAGCGGAGGGAUCAUUACCGAGUUUACAACUCCCAAACCCAAUGUGAACGUUACCAAACUGUUGCCUCGGCGGGGUCACGCCCCGGGUGCGUCGCAGCCCCGGAACCAGGCGCCCGCCGGAGGAACCAACCAAACUCUUUCUGUAGUCCCCUCGCGGACGUAUUUCUUACAGCUCUGAGCAAAAAUUCAAAAUGAAUCAAAACUUUCAACAACGGAUCUCUUGGUUCUGGCAUCGAUGAAGAACGCAGCGAAAUGCGAUAAGUAAUGUGAAUUGCAGAAUUCAGUGAAUCAUCGAAUCUUUGAACGCACAUUGCGCCCGCCAGUAUUCUGGCGGGCAUGCCUGUCCGAGCGUCAUUUCAACCCUCGAACCCCUCCGGGGGAUCGGCGUUGGGGAUCGGGACCCCUCACACGGGUGCCGGCCCCGAAAUACAGUGGCGGUCUCGCCGCAGCCUCUCCUGCGCAGUAGUUUGCACAACUCGCACCGGGAGCGCGGCGCGUCCACGUCCGUAAAACACCCAACUUUCUGAAAUGUUGACCUCGGAUCAGGUAGGAAUACCCGCUGAACUUAAGCAUAUCAAAUUGGAAGAGAA